CUACGGGUCGCUCCAGUGAGGAAUAUUGCACAAUGGGGGAAACCCUGAUGCAGCAACGCCGCGUGGAGGAUGACGCAUUUCGGUGUGUAAACUCCUUUUAUGAGUCAAGAAAAUGACGGUAGCUCAUGAAUAAGCACCGGCUAACUCCGUGCCAGCAGCCGCGGUAAUACGGAGGGUGCAAGCGUUACUCGGAAUCACUGGGCGUAAAGGACGCGUAGGCGGGAUGUCAAGUCAGGUGUGAAAUCCUAUGGCUCAACCAUAGAACUGCACUUGAAACUGGCAACCUAGAGUAUGGGAGGGGGAGAUGGAAUUAGUGGUGUAGGGGUAAAAUCCGUAGAUAUCACUAGGAAUACCGAAAGCGAAGGCGAUCUCCUGGAGCAUUACUGACGCUAAGGCGUGAAAGCGUGGGGAGCAAACAGGAUUAGAUACCCCAGUAGUC
rnacentral:rRNA from 1 species